rnacentral:rRNA from 1 species
UACGGAGGGGGCUAGCGUUGUUCGGAAUUACUGGGCGUAAAGCGCACGUAGGCGGAUAUUUAAGUCAGGGGUGAAAUCCUGGAGCUCAACUCCAGAACUGCCUUUGAUACUGAAGAUCUUGAGUCCGGGAGAGGUGAGUGGAACUGCGAGUGUAGAGGUGAAAUUCGUAGAUAUUCGCAAGAACACCAGUGGCGAAGGCGGCUCACUGGCCCGAUACUGACGCUGAGGCACGAAAGCGUGGGGAGCAAACAGG